rnacentral:tRNA from 1 species
GGAGGGGUGGCCGAGUGGUUUAAGGCGGCGGUCUUGAAAACCGCUGGGUGGCCUAGCUAUCCCGUGGGUUCGAAUCCCACCCCCUCCGC